rnacentral:rRNA from 1 species
GACGAACGCUGGCGGCGUGCUUAACACAUGCAAGUCGAACGGAAAGGCCCUGCUUGCAGGGUACUCGAGUGGCGAACGGGUGAGUAACACGUGGGUGAUCUGCCCUGCACUUCGGGAUAAACCUGGGAAACUGGGUCUAAUACCGGAUAGGAGCCAUUUUUAGUGUGAUGGUUGGAAAGUUUUUUCGGUGUAGGAUGAGCUCGCGGCCUAUCAGCUUGUUGGUGGGGUAAUGGCCUACCAAGGCGGCGACGGGUAGCCGGCCUGAGAGGGUGGACGGCCACAUUGGGACUGAGAUACGGCCCAGACUCCUACGGGAGGCAGCAGGGGGGAAUAUUGCACAAUGGGCGCAAGCCUGAUGCAGCGACGCCGCGUGGGGGAUGACGGCCUUCGGGUUGUAAACUCCUUUCGCUAGGGACGAAGCUUUUUGUGACGGUACCUAGAUAAGAAGCACCGGCUAACUACGUG